rnacentral:rRNA from 1 species
CCUGGUGAACUUAUUAUAUACUAGGUCUAACCUGCUCAAUGAAUAAUUAUUUAAAUAGCCGCAGUAUUUUGACUGUGCGAAGGUAGCAUAAUCAUUUGUCUUUUAAAUGAAGGCUUGUAUGAAUGGUUGAAUGAGGGAAUUGCUUUCUUUAUAUUAUUUUUUGAAUUUAAUUUUUUAGUCAAAAAGCUUAAAUUUUUAAGUGGGACGAGAAGACCCUAUAGAAUUUUAUUUAUGACUUAUGUUUUAAUUUUUGGUUAAUAUUUUGUUUAUAUGGGUUAUAAAUUUUGUUGGGGUGACAGUGAGAUUUUUUUAACUCUCAUAAUUUAUUUUUUACUAAUAUGUAUUUUAAAGAUCCUGUUUUGUGGAUAUUUAGAUUAAAUUACCUUAGGGAUAACAGCGUUAUUUCUCUGGAGAGUUCUUAUCGAUAGAGGAGUUUGCGACCUCGAUGUUGGAUUAAAAUUAGAUUUAAGUGCAGAAGCUUAAUUUCUGGGUCUGUUCGACCUUUAAAAUUUUACA